UCGAGCGAGUCUGCCUUGAAGAUCGGAGUGCUUGCACUCUGUGAAACAAGAUACAGGCUAGCGGCGGACGGGUGAGUAACACGUGGGUAACCUGCCCAAGAGAUCGGGAUAACACCUGGAAACAGAUGCUAAUACCGGAUAACAACAGAUGAUGCCUAUCAACUGUUUAAAAGAUGGUUCUGCUAUCACUCUUGGAUGGACCUGCGGUGCAUUAGCUAGUUGGUAGGGUAACGGCCUACCAAGGCGAUGAUGCAUAGCCGAGUUGAGAGACUGAUCGGCCACAUUGGGACUGAGACACGGCCCAAACUCCUACGGGAGGCAGCAGUAGGGAAUCUUCCACAAUGGACGCAAGUCUGAUGGAGCAACGCCGCGUGAGUGAAGAAGGGUUUCGGCUCGUAAAGCUCUGUUGUUGGUGAAGAAGGACAGGGGUAGUAACUGACCUUUGUUUGACGGUAAUCAGUUAGAAAGUCACGGCUAACUACGUGCCAGCAGCCGCGGUAAUACGUAGGUGGCAAGCGUUGUCCGGAUUUAUUGGGCGUAAAGCGAGUGCAGGCGGCUCGAUAAGUCUGAUGUGAAAGCCUUCGGCUCAACCGGAGAAUUGCAUCAGAAACUGUCGAGCUUGAGUACAGAAGAGGAGAGUGGAACUCCAUGUGUAGCGGUGAAAUGCGUAGAUAUAUGGAAGAACACCGGUGGCGAAGGCGGCUCUCUGGUCUGUUACUGACGCUGAGGCUCGAAAGCAUGGGUAGCGAACAGGAUUAGAUACCCUGGUAGUCCAUGCCGUANACGACGAGUGCUAAGUGUUGGGAGGUUUCCGCCUCUCAGUGCUGCAGCUAACGCAUUAAGCAC
rnacentral:rRNA from 1 species